rnacentral:rRNA from 1 species
GAUGAACGCUAGCGGCAGGCCUAAUACAUGCAAGUCGGACGGGAUUCAGGAGCUUGCUUCUGAUGAGAGUGGCGCACGGGUGCGUAACACGUAUGUAACCUACCUUUAUCAGGGGGAUAGCCUCUCGAAAGAGAGAUUAAGCCCGCAUAAAAUCACAGCACAGCAUUGUGUAAUGAUCAAAUAUUUAUAGGAUAAAGAUGGGCAUGCGGAACAUUAGCUAGAUGGCGGGGUAACGGCCCACCAUGGCGACGAUGUUUAGGGGAUCUGAGAGGAUGGCCCCCAACACUAGUACUGAGACACUGACCAGACUCCUACGGGAGGCAGCAGUAAGGAAUAUUAGUCAAUGGGCGGAAGCCUGAACCAGCCAUGCCGCGUGCAGGAAGACGGCCCUACGGGUUGUAAACUGCUUUUAUACGGGAAUAAACCCAGAUACGUGUAUCUGGCUGAAUGUACUGUAAGAAUAAGGAUCGGCUAACUCCGUG